GGUAUUAACUGUUCGUGUAGAAAAUAUUUCAAACAAAACUUCCCGCCUUAUAUUUAAAAAUUUCAAAGUUGAAGAGUCGUUUUGGAUUAUCGAUUGCGUAUCGAUAUUGUAAAUGAAUCGUAAUUCACGCUAUAAAUACAUAUCUGCCAAACCUGUAUUUUUGCAAAAAUUGUGCAACUAAUGUGUUAUUUUAUCUUUUAAAGAAUGCAGAUAAAUAAAGUACAAAGUUUCAACAAGUAUAUCAAUAAUCAAUGAAAGUUUUAAAUGUGUUGCCCGUUGAACACUAGUGUAUCACAAAUUUUUAACCUCUACGAAACGUAAAUAAUUCCUGGAGAAAAUUUUCGAAAAUAGUGAAUUCCACAUAAUUUGCUAGAAAUUAAACUAAGGUUGUUAAUUAUUACUGUAACGUAAAUCAUUAUCCUGUUUUGGAGGUUAACUUCCUUCGUAAGAGGUUGGAUUGGAUUAUGGAAACAGCAUUUUGAGAUUAUAAUUUUUAACUUCAUUCGCAACAAAUCAUUGGAAAGGAACAUUGAUAACAAAAAAUAUUGGUUUUUGUAUGAUCCCUACUAUUACGGAAACAAUGGCAUCAGAGACUUUUUUUGGAACUGGUGGAAUACUUCAUGGUGCCAUAAUGUUCAUGCUGAGAUUUACUUGGCAGUCAAGAUAUCGUUUACCGAUGCUUAUAAUUAUUAUAUUGAUUGCAAUAGAUUACAGACUUCAAUUAGCACUUGAAUUUGAUAUUAAUCCUGAACUAUAUAAUCAUUUGUGAUUAAGGAUUUAAGUUAUUUAUAGAUCACUUCUAGAUUAUAUUGUUAAACAAAGUUUUAAAUGCUCAUAGGAGGUAAUAAGAGAAGUAUUUUUCAAGAGAUUCAAGGAUGAAAGGGUAUAUAUUGUUGAUAUUUUUAUUUAUUUCUGUUGUAGUUUCAGAUUAGUAUAGAAUGACACUGCGUUGGAAUUGUAUAGGCUAAGGAAAUUUUUGACUGAUAUUAAUUAAUAUUUUCAAGUAUUUAUGUAUCAUAUUGUAAAGAGAGUAAUAUAUAGGUUUUACACAAUCAUUCAUUGGAAUGUAAAUUAUAUAUUUAAAUUAAUAA